rnacentral:rRNA from 1 species
UACGGGGGGGGCAAGCGUUGUUCGGAAUUACUGGGCGUAAAGGGCUCGUAGGCGGCCAACUAAGUCGGAUGUGAAAUCCCCAGGCUUAACCUGGGAACUGCAUCCGAUACUGGAUGGCUUGAAUCCGGGAGAGGGAUGCAGAAUUCCAGGUGUAGCGGUGAAAUGCGUAGAUAUCUGGAGGAAUACCGGUGGCGAAGGCGGCAUCCUGGACCAAUUCUGACGCUGAGGAGCGAAAGCCAGGGGAGCAAACAGG